rnacentral:tRNA from 3 species
UAGGCUAAUGCUCGCUGGCUGGGGCGAUUAGUUGUUAACUAAUUUUAUACGGGAUCGAGGCCCGUUGGUCUA